rnacentral:rRNA from 1 species
GCUCCAGACUCCUACGGGAGGCAGCAGUAGGGAAUUUUGCGCAAUGGGCGAAAGCCUGACGCAGCAACACCGCGUGAAUGUUAAGCCCUUCGGGGUGUAAAGUUCUGUCAAUAGGGACGAAUUUUGACUGUACCUAUAAAGGAAGCACCGGCUAACUCCGUGCCAGCAGCCGCGGUAAUACGGGGGGUGCAAGCGUUGUCCGGAAUCAUUGGGCGUAAAGCGUUCGUAGGCGGCAAGGUAAGUCUGAUGUUAAAGCCCGGGGCUCAACUCCGGUUCGGCAUUGGAUACUAUCUAGCUAGAAUGUGGUAGAGGUAAAGGGAAUUCCUGGUGUAGCGGUGAAAUGCGUAGAUAUCAGGAGGAACAUCGGGGGCGAAAGCGACUUUCUGGACUGUACCUGACGCUGAGGCGCGAAAGCGUGGGUAGCGAACGGGAUUAGAUACCCGGGUAA